GCUUUCUUUGGCAGAACAUAUGCUAAAACUGGAAUGAUAAAGAGAAGAUUAGCAUGGCCUUUGUGCAAGGAUGACAUACAAAUUCAUGAAGCAUUCCAUAUUUUU